rnacentral:rRNA from 1 species
UACGUAGGGGCCGAGCGUUGUCCGGAUUUAUUGGGCGUAAAGAGCUCGUAGGCGGCUCAGAAAGUCGGGUGUGAAACCUCCAGGCUCAACCUGGAGACGCCACCUGAUACUGCUGUGGCUAGAGUCCGGUAGGGGAACACGGAAUUCCCGGUGUAGCGGUGAAAUGCUUAGAUAUCGGGAGGAACACCAGUGGCGAAGGCGGUGUUCUGGGCCGGAACUGACGCUGAGGAGCGAAAGCGUGGGUAGCAAACAGG